UUCCAGGAAUGAGUCAAACAUCCUCUCCACAGACUUCCUUGACUUCUCUGCUGUCCCAGCCAGUACAAGAGAGAGGAGCUUCACACAGUCCCAGAUGUCCCAGAUGACACAGGGAGAAGAAAGAAGACACAGGACAGUGUCCCCAUGGGAACAAAUAAUUAUUCCCGCCCAGCCAAUGAUCUGCUUUCUGCCCUGUAGUUCUGACUCCUCAGACUCUGAUUUCCAAAACAAAUGAGU